rnacentral:misc_RNA from 1 species
GCGGAGGAAAAGAAACCAACAGGGAUUGCCUCAGUAACGGCGAGUGAAGCGGCAACAGCUCAAAUUUGAAAUCUGGCUCCUUCGGGGCCCGAGUUGUAAUUUGCAGAGGAUGCUUCGGGUACGGGUUCCUUCCGAGUUCCCUGGAACGGGACGCCAUAGAGGGUGAGAGCCCCGUCUGGUAGGACACCCAGCCCGUGUGAAGCUCCCUCGACGAGUCGAGUAGUUUGGGAAUGCUGCUCUAACGGGAGGUAUACUCCUUCCAAGGCUAAAUACCGGCUGGAGACCGAUAGCGCACAAGUAGAGUGAUCGAAAGAUGAAAAGCACUUUGAAAAGAGAGUCAAAUAGCACGUGAAAUUGUUGAAAGGGAAGCGCUCGCUACCAGACAUGGGUUCGGCGGUUCAACCGGGGCCACGCCCCGGGGCACUCCGCCGGCCCAGGCCAGCAUCAGCUUUCCGUCGGGGGCAAAGGCGUCGGGAAUGUGGCUCCCCUCCGGGGGAGUGUUAUAGCCCGGCGUGUCAUACCCUUCGGGGGGCUGAGGUACGCGCUUCUGCAAGGGUGCUGGCGUAAUGGUAGCUAGUGACCCGUCUUGAAACACGGACCAAGGAGUCAACCUUAUGUGCGAGUGCCCGGGCGUAAAACCCCAGCGCGGAAUGAAAGUGAACGUAGGUGAGAGCUUCGGCGCAUCACCGACCGAUCCUGAUGUCCUCGGACGGAUUUGAGUGAGAGCAUAUAGGGUUGGACCCGAAAGAAGAUGAACUAUGCGUGUGUAGGGUGAAGCCAGAGGAAACUCUGGUGGAGGCUCGCAGCGGUUCUGACGUGCAAAUCGA